CAAAGUGUAGCUUAACUAAAGCAUCUGGCUUACACCCAGAAGAUUUCAUCUGCUAUGCCCGCUUUGGUGAU
rnacentral:tRNA from 1 species